GAUGAACGCUGGCGGCGUGCCUAAUACAUGCAAGUCGAGCGAACAGACGAGGAGCUUGCUCCUCUGACGUUAGCGGCGGACGGGUGAGUAACACGUGGAUAACCUACCUAUAAGACUGGGAUAACUUCGGGAAACCGGAGCUAAUACCGGAUAAUAUAUUGAACCGCAUGGUUCAAUAGUGAAAGACGGUUUUGCUGUCACUUAUAGAUGGAUCCGCGCCGCAUUAGCUAGUUGGUAAGGUAACGGCUUACCAAGGCAACGAUGCGUAGCCGACCUGAGAGGGUGAUCGGCCACACUGGAACUGAGACACGGUCCAGACUCCUACGGGAGGCAGCAGUAGGGAAUCUUCCGCAAUGGGCGAAAGCCUGACGGAGCAACGCCGAGUGAGUGAUGAAGGUCUUCGGAUCGUAAAACUCUGUUAUUAGGGAAGAACAAAUGUGUAAGUAACUAUGCACGUCUUGACGGUACCUAAUCAGAAAGCAACGGCUAACUACGUG
rnacentral:rRNA from 1 species